GAUGAACGCUGGCGGCGUGCUUAACACAUGCAAGUCGAACGGAAAGGCCCUGCUUUUGGGGGGUGCGCGAGUGGCGAACGGGUGAGUAACACGUGAGUAACCUGCCCUUGACUUUGGGAUAACUUCUGGAAACUGGGGCUAAUACCGGAUAGUAGCUCCUGCUGCAUGGUGGGGGUGGGAAAGUUUCGGCGGUUGGGGAUGGACUCGCGGCUUAUCAGCUUGUUGGUGGGGUAGUGGCUUACCACGGCUUUGACGGGUAGCCGGCCUGAGAGGGUGACCGGCCACAUUGGGACUGAGAUACGGCCCAGACUCCUACGGGAGGCAGCAGUGGGGAAUAUUGCACAAUGGGCGGAAGCCUGAUGCAGCAACGCCGCGUGCGGGAUGACGGCCUUCGGGUUGUAAACCGCUUUCGCCUGUGACGAAGCGUGAGUGACGGUAAUGGGUAAAGAAGCACCGGCUAACUACGUG
rnacentral:rRNA from 1 species